GCCUACGCUAUACUACCUUCAGCACGCCCGAUCUCGUCUGAUCUCGGAAGCUAAGCAGGGUUGGGCCUGGUUAGUACCUGUUAUGGGAGACCGUCUCGGAAUACCAGGUGUUGUAGGCA
rnacentral:rRNA from 1 species